GACAGAGGGUGCAAACGUUGUUCGGAAUUACUGGGCGUAAAGCGCGCGUAGGCGGACCUGCAAGUCGGGGGUGAAAGCCCGAGGCUCAACCUCGGAACUGCCUUCGAUACUGCGGGUCUCGAGUCCGGGAGAGGUGAGUGGAAUUCCUAGUGUAGAGGUGAAAUUCGUAGAUAUUAGGAAGAACACCAGUGGCGAAGGCGGCUCACUGGCCCGGUACUGACGCUGAGGCGCGAAAGCGUGGGGAGCAAACAGG
rnacentral:rRNA from 1 species